AAACUUAGGAUAACCAAAACCGAAAGCCUUCAAAGCUCUAAACAGAAGUGAAACCCUUCUAGUUUC
rnacentral:tRNA from 1 species